CAAAAGGUGUCACUGGCGAUCAGGAGGGUAAACUAGACUACAGUUUUCAUCUGCAAUAACAAAGCUUGGUUUAUCAAGUCAGAUAACAGUGCUGCGUUGAAAGAAGCCAAGUGGGAUACAAAUUCUGUAUGGAAAUAUUAUAGUACAAAUCUGAAGCAAGAAAGGAAGAAAUUCUAUCCCAAAAGAACUAUAAAGAACUUGCUGAUUUCUUUCAAGCUUCAUUUCAUAUCCUAAUGUGAACUCAGAAAGAACAGCAACCAGGAAAAUGAGGACUUUUACAUCUGGGCACUUACCCACUGGACUCUGAAUUCAUUUAUUUACAUUUAAAUGUUCAUUUGUAUGUGUGUGUAAAGUACCGUCAAAGCCCAAACAUUACUCCAUUACUCUUUGUAAUGUUUUUAGUUUUGUUUUUUUAAGAGAGAUGUGAAUCUUCAUAAAAUAUUGACGGAUGGUUAAUGGGUUGGAUUCCUUGAUGGUGUCUACACUGCUGAACGAUCAGUGAGGCUUUCUUGGUAUUAAGGAUUUUUGCCAGACACAAUGCAAUAUCUAGUUAAAUGCAUUUAUAAAUAAGGCAGCACUCAGUGCAACAUUUUUAGACUACAUUUCUUUUGUUAACCACCAUUAACACAACAGAAAACUCCAUUACAAUCUAUAAUGAUAUUUUGUAACUACAAUUAUGUUUACAACUGGAAUAUGAUAUUUUCCUUAUGACUUUAGAAAUAUGCUAUCAAUUGAAUCUGAGGCAUAGGUAGGCUUUGAAAUAGAUAAUGGACUGGUAGUUUUAAAAACUUCUAAAAUCACUUCAGUAGAACACAUUACUUAGGGAUAUGGUGUAGGAUGUCUAUCCAACCCAUGAGAGUGUUUCUUAUUCUCUUCCUUUAACCUGUUUCCAUAACACAUGACCUUUAUUGUCUUCAAAAGUCCAAAAUUCUUCUAUCUUCGUGUAUAUUAGGAAAGGCUGAAUUUGUUUUAUCACAGGUAAUUAUUAUAGUUCCAUGGUUUUAAAUUGGACUUUAUUGAAAUGUUAUUGUUAACCGUUUCACCAAAAAAAAAGGUAUUUAUUCAUUUUUGAAGACUCUCGUCCUCAUCUUAAACCAUACAUAGGGGCUUCUCUAAUGAAAAAAUAAAUAAAUAUAUUAAUCAACAA